rnacentral:tRNA from 1 species
GCAGAGAUAACCAAGCCCGGUCAACGGUGAUGGACUCAAGAUCCAUUGGCAUAGGCCUACGGGGGUUCAAAAAAAAACGCUUUCAGUAUUAGAAAUUGCUUUUCGCACUUUUUGGAAAUCCCUCUCUCUGCA